CCCAGGGCCAACGUUUCGCGGCCCCGAGCCUCCCCGGCUGGGCACGGGAGGAAGGACCCGAAUUUUGGCCGAUCCCAGCCCGAGCUGAGGGAUGCUGCUCGGAGGAGUCCCUAUUACACGGCAUACGGCUCCUUAUCUGCGGUACACACGGAUCGAUAGCCCUUCUCUGCUGAUAUUCCUCUUCAGAGCAUGAGCUCACCCUCGUCAGGAGUGCCCACAUAGCCUCCAUCACUGGGUGACAGCGCUCCUGGUCUGUUCCCCAAACUCCUCCACACAGACACUUGGUAUGUAAAUACUCCCCUUAAUCUUCGUCUUUUGUCUCAAGGAUAAAAACAAAACCAAACAAUAACAAAACCUCCCCUGUUUUGCAUGCAGGGAGCGCAUGCCAUUAAUAUUAAUUAAUUUAUUUAUUUAAAGCCGGUAAAAGAAUUUGCUCUUAGGCUGGGAAUGUGACUGCCAAGUUUCCUGCCUGCAAUUUGUUACGGCUCAGUAGUAAACUCCUCCUGAAAAUAGGAAUCUGAAAUGGAAAUACUGACGGGCCUUUUAACCGCGCCGUAACAAGCAGGGUGCUUUACCCCGCAGUGACACAGUGGCAGCUAUCGUAGGGCGCACGGAAAACAAACAAGGCCUCUCUGCAUCGCGCUCCUGCCUGCAACCGGGCAGACGCAGGAAGCGAAAAGGGGCCGAAAGACAAAAGCCCAGAAGGUCAAGCACACCACGCCCGAGCCCGAGCCCUUCUGCUGCGCCGCCGAGCACCGGGAUCCUGCAGAACUUGCACUUGAAUAACUUGCCUUUGAUCAGCUUGCCAUGAAAAAAGAGGUGUAGCCUGCUACCUCGCUAAUGGGGGUAAGGAAUGAGACUUUCCCAUAAGGCUUAAGCUGCAAAUUAAUGUACCCAGGCUUGCCCUGUUAGGCAGAACAAAGCUCCCAAAAGUGUCUGUUGCAAACUCUCCUUAUCUGCUUAGCCGUGUACGUUCCUUGUAGUUCUCCAGAUGUAAAACACACGGAUGCUGAAGCUGGUUUGCAUGCCAUCUUUUGAGUGCGGGUUGAAAAAUGUUAUUUUUCACAGUUGCUGAACACUUGGAGUCCCAACAAAAGUCAGCCGAGUGCCUCCGGAUUUACACCUGUGGAAGCGACAGCACCUUUGCAUCUCCAUGGAAGUAAAACAUUGCUGUUAUUUUUCACAAGGUAUUUGGCAGCGAGGAAAAUUACUGAAUCGUACGCAUGCAACAGAAUCGCUGGGACCCGAGCCUCACACUUCUGCUUUGUAGGACACAUGCUUAAAUGCCAUAUAUUGAACUGCCACAUCAUGUCUAUUUUUACUAAUUGAGUUUACUUACUUGUGUUUGGGCACCGUACCAGCUACUCAGCAAGUCCGGGAGAUUAAUGUAAAAGCCUCUCUCCAUUUAGAAAGUAAAGGCACUCUAGAUUUACAGCUGCUUAUUUUGAGGGUGGCUGACUGCUGAUCCCGAUGUCUUUGAGUAACAGAUGGUUUUCUGAGCUGCACUGAUAAUGAAAAUGAUAUAAUUUACCACUUAACAUUAAAAUACAGCACUAGAGGCAGAACAGAAGAAAAAGCAGUGUAUUCACCUUCUACAAAUGGCGUACCUGAGAAGAAGGGGAAAAAAAAAAAAGCCCAGGGAAAC